rnacentral:rRNA from 1 species
UAGGGAAUCUUUCGCAAUGGACGCAAGUCUGACGGAGCAACGCCGCGUGAGUGAAGAAGGAUUUCGGUUCGUAAAACUCUGUUGUUAGAGAAGAACAGCGCAUAGAGUAACUGUUAUGCGUGUGACGGUAUCUAACCAGAAAGCCACGGCUAACUACGUGCCAGCAGCCGCGGUAAUACGUAGGUGGCAAGCGUUGUCCGGAUUUAUUGGGCGUAAAGCGAGCGCAGGCGGUCAAUUAAGUCUGAUGUGAAAGCCCCCGGCUCAACCGGGGAGGGUCAUUGGAAACUGGUUGACUUGAGUGCAGAAGAGGAGAGUGGAAUUCCAUGUGUAGCGGUGAAAUGCGUAGAUAUAUGGAGGAACACCAGUGGCGAAGGCGACUCUCUGGUCUGUAACUGACGCUGAGGCUCGAAAGCGUGGGUAGCAAACAGG